AAGUCGUAACAAGGUUUCCGUAGGUGAACCUGCGGAAGGAUCAUUAAUCCAGGCGCAAGCCCCCUCUCGGGGAGGUGAGCGCCGCCUUCUUAUCAACCCUUUGCCUAUGUGUACCCCUAUCGCUUCCUCGGCAGGCUCGCCUGCCGCUAGGAACCAACCAAACCCCUUGCAUUAUACAUGAAAACUUCCGAUACAAACCUAAAUUAUUACAACUUUUAACAAUGGAUCUCUUGGUUCUG
rnacentral:misc_RNA from 2 species